UAACUACUCCCUUCGUUCCGAAUUAUUUGUCGCAGGUAUGGAUGUAUUUAGAUAUAUUUUAGUUCUACAUACAUCCAUUUCUGUGACGAGUAAUUUAGAACGGAGGAAAUAGCUU
rnacentral:pre_miRNA from 1 species